rnacentral:rRNA from 1 species
UGAUACGUAGGGUGCGAGCGUUGUCCGGAAUUAUUGGGCGUAAAGAGCUUGUAGGCGGUCCGUUGCGUCGGAAGUGAAAACUCGGGGCUUAACCCCGAGCCUGCUUUCGAUACGGGCGGACUUGAGGGAUGUAGGGGAGAACGGAAUUCCUGGUGGAGCGGUGGAAUGCGCAGAUAUCAGGAGGAACACCAGUGGCGAAGGCGGUUCUCUGGACAUUUCCUGACGCUGAGAAGCGAAAGCGUGGGGAGCAAACAGGCUUAGAUACCCUGGUAGUCCACGCCGUAAACGGUGGGCACUAGGUGUGGGACCCAUUCCACGGGUUCCGUGCCGUAGCUAACGCAUUAAGUGCCCCGCCUGGGGAGUACGGCCGCAAGGCUAAAACUCAAAUGAAUUGACGG